rnacentral:rRNA from 1 species
GGAUGCGAUCAUACCAGCACUAAAGCACCGGAUCCCAUCAGAACUCCGAAGUUAAGCGUGCUUGGGCGAGAGUAGUACUGGGAUGGGUGACCUCCUAGGAAGUCCUCGUGUUGCGUUCC